GGUCUCAUGGUCUAGUGGUAUGAUUGUCGCUUCGGGCUUCCAUUGCCUGGUGGCUGCGAAACAGCCAACAUUUGUGACAGGCCCCGGGUUCAAAUCCCGGUGAGACCC